rnacentral:rRNA from 1 species
AUGAGCGCAACCUCUGAGCUGAGCAUCAGAAACGAUGGCCACCUCAUUGACAUCGCUCCAAGUCCAACCACCGGCAUCAAUCAGAGCGGCGGCGGAGGCGAGAUCCACACGGAAUGGCUGCGGGAGCUGACGUCGGCGUCACGGAGCGCCGCCGUCCUGAACGACCUCAUCGGCCGAACGCCGACGCUGUGGUACCUCGGCGAGCGCGCGCCCACCAUCCUCCGGCCGCGCUCCCGGCGCGCCGACCUGAAGGCGCUACACGCGGUGCGCGCGGUGGCCAUCGGCCCGUACCACCGCGGCGACCGUGGCCUCGCCUUCGACGACGAGGCCAAGCUGCCGUUCCUGCGGUACCUGCAGGACCAGUGCGGGCUCGACGUCGAGCAGUACGUCGCGGCGCUCGGGGUGGCGCGGCACAGGACGAGGCGGGCGCGCAGAUGGUGUGGGGACUUGAUACUUCACUUCCUCCCGUCGCCCUGGGUGUCCGUCUCGCUCGCCGCCGUGGUUGCGCUCAUCAUUGUGCCGGCGAUGUUGCAGACAAUCUACGCCAUUUUGGGCUACCAAAAGUAG